AAAGCAAGUUUCCCAGAGAAAGAUGGAAAGCUGAUUUCCCUGAGAUUCCCCGUAUCUGUGCACACGGGACAGCUUUCUGACUUUGAGAAUCAACUCACUUUGAUUUCUUCCUGUGUGAUGAGGAAAUAACGCCUAGAGUAUGAGAACUGUGUGCGGUCACUCGGGAACGGCACCUGGCAGAGAGCGGGCACACAGACGUGGGCGCACCUUCUUCAUCACCAUCUACCAGAAAAGAAGGCACAAGAUUAAGAAUCUGAAGCACGGAGAGGUGAAGUAAGUCGGCGAAGAUCACACAGCCAGCAGGUGGCAGAAAUGGAACUUGAGCAAAGAUAGACCUCCAGAGCCUACACUCUCCACCCGUACACAGGAGCCCUUGUCAAGUGUUCAACAUUAGGUGAAGGAGUAACAGUAUUUAAUUUCUGUGUUUUGUUUUAUUGAUUCAUUUCCUGAUUCUAAAAGUGAUUUACUCAUGUUUAGACAUUAAGAUAUGUUGAUUCAAUGAACUCCUCCAGUAAAAUGUGGAAUAUUACAUGGCAAAGAAAGAUGUGCUUUAUAAAAAUUUAUAUAUACAGCAGGAACGGAAUUAUAAAUACAGUAGAAGUGUAACUAUGUAAAUCCAACAUAAGAAAAAAAGACUAUAAAGAAACCCACCAAAAUAAUAUUAGUAGUUAUGUUACAGUGUGAGAUCAUGUGAGAUCGGUUUUAUUUUUACAUAUUCUCUAUUUCAAAAUUCCCUGGGAUUUUUUGGAAAAAAAAAAAAAGUGAUGUGCAAAGCUCCCCCAAAUGGCUUAACUUGUUACUUUGAAUCUUUGGCAUUUGGGGAACCACAGAGGAAAAAUAAUUCAUAAAAUGCAAAAA